CGCGAGGUAGCAAUACUUGGCGGCGGCCGGCGCAAGGGUGCGUAACGCGUGAGCAACAUGCCCGUAUCAGGGGGAUAAUCCAGGGAAACUUGGUCUAAUACCCCAUAGUAAUUUUGUAAGGCAUCUUAUAAGAUUUAAAGCUUUGGUGGAUACGGAUUGGCUCGCGUGACAUUAGCUGGAUGGUAAGGUAACGGCUUACCAUGGCUAUGAUGUCUAGGGGUUCUGAGAGGAAGGUCCCCACACUGGAACUGAGACACGGUCCAGACUCCUACGGGGGGCAGCAGUGAGGAAUAUUGGACAAUGGAUGGAAAUCUGAUCCAGCCAUGCCGCGUGAAAGGAAGAGGGUCCUAUGGAUUGUAAACUUCUUUUGUAUGGGAGCAAUAAGGCCUACGAGUAGGUUGAUGAGAGUACCAUACGAAUAAGCACCGGCUAACUCCGUGCCAGCCGCCGC
rnacentral:rRNA from 1 species